rnacentral:sRNA from 1 species
CAUGCUGAUAAAGUGCAGACUAAGGAC